UCCUACGGGGCGCAGCAGUGAGGAAUAUUGGUCAAUGGGCGAGAGCCUGAACCAGCCAAGUCGCGUGAGGGAAGACGGUCCUAUGGAUUGUAAACCUCUUUUGUCGGGGAGCAAAAAGGCCUCGUGAGGCCACAAGUGAGAGUACCCGAAGAAAAAGCAUCGGCUAACUCCGUGCCAGCAGCCGCGGUAAUACGUAGGUGGCGAGCGUUGUCCGGAAUCACUGGGCGUAAAGGGCGCGUAGGCGGUAAUAUAAGUCAGAUGGGAAAGGUGGGGGCUCAACCCCUAGAGUGCAACUGAUACUGUAU
rnacentral:rRNA from 1 species